rnacentral:lncRNA from 1 species
CAUUCUAUAACGGAAAGAUUAUCCUGAAUUUAUUUAAAAUUUUGUCUCUUUUAGGCAUUUGUUCUCCUUUUUUGCAUUGAAGUGGCGUAUAAACCACACUCGAAUCUAUCCGAACUGUCUGUGCUCAAUUGUACAAAGCCAUUUACCAAUUUUAUGCAUUUUGUCUAACAUGAAAAUAUAUUAAUAGAUUUUAAGUCAGUAGUACUUUAGUCAAAUUUUGAGAUGAAUAAAUUUUUAAAUUUUAAUUUUAAUUGGAGUGAAUUAUACUAAAACAAAUUAUGUGGAGAAGUAAAAACAAAAUGGCUCCAUUAGUCCACUGGUGGAGUAAUAAUCUCCUUAUCUGUAAACUUCAAUUAAGGAGCGAUUAUUAUGUCAGAUUCAGUUCUAUGCAAUUUGGCUUGGGGUAGGGCAAGGAAGGCGUUUCUUUUCUUUUCUUUUUUUUUUUUUNNNNNNNNNNNNNUUGGUUUCCACAGCCACUAUUUUUGACAUCACCAUAACCAUUCUUUAUCCACAAUUUGGUUUGAUGUUUCAUAGCUCACUCAACCCAGUUCAAAUCUUUAAUUUAUUCUCUUUCUUCUAGCAAUGGAAGAUUAUUCCUUCUCUACAGUGGAAUAUAUAUUCAAUUAACAAUUAGUAUUUUAGUUGAAUUGUGAUAUAUUAGCUAUUAUUAUUAUUGAUCAAGUAUUUAUACAGUCAAAAGAAAUAACAAGUUUCCAUUAUGAAAUUAUGCAAAAUUGCAAACCCUCUUGGCUGUUCAUGGAUGAUCACAUACCAUUCUUAUCACCUAAUUAGUGGCCAUAAAUGUUGGGGAAGGAAAGCUGGGUUGGUAGAUAUGCUGGUAUAAAUGAGAAAUAAAAUAAUGCAUUUUUUUUUUAAAAUUAAUUUCUAGGUGGGAAUACUAUAAAUAGAUUGAUUUUUUUUUUUU